GACGAACGCUGGCGGCGUGCUUAACACAUGCAAGUCGAACGGAAAGGCCCUGCUUUUGUGGGGUGCUCGAGUGGCGAACGGGUGAGUAACACGUGAGUAACCUGCCCUUGACUUUGGGAUAACUUCAGGAAACUGGGGCUACUACCGGAUAGGAGCUCCUGCUGCAUGGUGGGGGUUGGAAAGUUUCGGCGGUUGGGGAUGGACUCGCGGCUUAUCAGCUUGUUGGUGGGGUAGUGGCUUACCAAGGCUUUGACGGGUAGCCGGCCUGAGAGGGUGACCGGCCACAUUGGGACUGAGAUACGGCCCAGACUCCUACGGGAGGCAGCAGUGGGGAAUAUUGCACAAUGGGCGGAAGCCUGAUGCAGCAACGCCGCGUGCGGGAUGACGGCCUUCGGGUUGUAAACCGCUUUCGCCUAUGACGAAGCGUGAGUGACGGUAAUGGGUAAAGAAGCACCGGCUAACUACGUG
rnacentral:rRNA from 1 species